UAUUUUUUCCUCUCUUUUUACUUCAGUUGCUCUUUUCUUUUUUCCUUCUUUCUUCUCUCACCUACACACCAUACAAGUAUUUAUUUUCUGCUUUCUUUCUGCUACAUCAACAUAAUAUCUUCUCUUUUUUCAUGUCACCAUAACUUACAUUUAUUCUCUCAUUCUUCUUCCUCUCCCACACAAUAAUAUAACAACAACGAACACUUUUUCUUCAUUCUUCAUCAGCAUCAUCAAUGCCAAUUACAACAAAAUUCACUCCACCAUUUCAAAAUAACUACAGCAACUUCAUCAUCAUCAUCACUUCCAACUAUAAAAACUUCAUCAUCAUCGUCACUUCCAACAAUAACAUAACUCUCUUCACACUUUCUCAUACUUUUUUCUUCAUAAAAACAUUAACAACUCUACACAUCAUAAACACUACAAUAACCUAUCUUCUUAAAGUCGUCUCUUUUAUGCACAAGAAAAAACACUCCAAACCACAACACAUCUUCAUCUUCCUCAAAUAAACUCAACUUUCCACCAUAAUCAA
rnacentral:lncRNA from 1 species